rnacentral:tRNA from 1 species
UGUGGUAGAAGCUCAGUGGUAGAACAUGUGUUUAGCAUUCAUGAGGCCCUGGGUUUGAUCUCCAGCACCACAA